rnacentral:lncRNA from 1 species
AGAAUUGGUUAGAAUUUAAAUCAUAUCAGUUCUUUUAGACUGUGGUUGUUAUAUGUAGAUUAUUUUAGCAUAUAUUGUACAAGGACUGUGGAAGAAAAAUGAACAUGUUCAGUCAAUUCUGUGAGUAAUAUUAUAAUAUUAUAGACUUUGCCUUAUUCAUUCACCUGUACUGAACACAACACACUUUACACUGCUGCUGUUCAGAUUGUUUCACCACUUACGCAAAACUGUAAAUGUAAAACCAUGUAGUGAAUAAUCUAAUUUAUUGUGAUUACACUGUACUGAUAUGAACUGCCUUACACUGAACUUACACUGAAUUGAGAGAUCCAUGCUCUUCCUUCUGCCUUGUUUUGGUUGCUGUGUUGACAAUUCAGCCAUUUUCUUCCACCUCCUAUCAAUUCAGCAGAAAUAACAUCACUAAUCUCUCACAUUGAACACACACACACUUGUUUGAUUGAAUUUAAAUCACUAGGCAGGUAUUAUAUCAGGCUCUCGCAUACACACACCGUCUGUGGAUCUCCUGAGAUUGCAGUGUUGUGUAUCUGCAGAGUGUAAAAUGUCUUUUCCUCAUUAUACUGAACACAGUCACAGCUCUCAGCUCAGUAAUAUCAUUCACACUCUCUGCUCUGUUUCAAUAAGUGUUUUUCUGCACUCAGUUUUCACCCCUCUACUUUAAACCAGUUAACACAACAGCUUAACUUUCACCCUGUUUAUCAGCUCAGUUGGAGAAUUCACUCAGUGAGCAUCAAAUCUAAUUUGUCUUGUUGGAGACGAUAAUCACACUGUAUUUCUACAUCAAUAUUUCAGAUCUGGAUAUCAUCACUUUCCCAGUGUCAGCAGACUGUCUUCACCUGACUCUGUUUACUUAUUUAGUUCACUGUGAUGAAGCUCACACUGACCAAACGUUUGAUUUAUGAAUCCUUCACUAAAGUUCAUACCUUUAUUCUUCUCUUUUUCUUGGAGCGUCAGAAUCGUCUGUGUUGAACCUCUUCUCAGAGUUACGGAAUAUCCAGUAGUUCAGAUAGGUUUUCUCUUAUUUACAUAUGGGACUUAUUUACACUCUGGUAACAUUUCUACACUGUCUAAGCAUUUACAAAAUAUAUUAUAAAAU